CAGAGUUCAUGCCCUUCGGGGUAGAUCUCCCACCCGUGUAUUUAUACCUUUGUUGCUUUGGCAGGCCUGCCUCGGCCACCGGCUCCGGCUGGUGAGCGCCUGCCAGAGGACCCCAAACUCAUGUUUAAACGUCGUCUGAGUACUAUAUAAUAGUUA
rnacentral:misc_RNA from 1 species